GGUCGAUGAUGACAAGUUUUAAGGCUUGUUUCUCAAAACAUUCGCAGUGGCCGCCUGAGAGCUUUCGCCUUCGCCGGGCUUGAGAGCUUCUGCUGCUUUAAUCCGUCCUUGGAUGUCUGAGGCC
rfam:Gossypium hirsutum cultivar TM-1 chromosome 3, whole genome shotgun sequence